rnacentral:rRNA from 1 species
UACCUGCAGCCCGAGUGGUUGCCGUUAUUAUUGGGCCUAAAACGUCCGUAGCCGGUUUGGUAGAUGCCUGUGUAAAUCGAACGGCUUAACCGUUCGAACUGCGGGUAGACCGCCAGACUUGGGACCGGGAGAGUCACGAAGUACUCCGGGGGUAGAGGUGAAAUUCUGUAAUCCUCGGGGGACUACCGGUGGCGAAGGCGUCGUGAUAGAACGGCUCCGACGGUGAGGGACGAAGCCCUGGGGCGCAAACCGG